UUAAGCGACUAAGCGUACACGGUGGAUGCCCUGGCAGUCAGAGGCGAUGAAGGACGUGCUAAUCUGCGAUAAGCGUCGGUAAGGUGAUAUGAACCGUUAUAACCGGCGAUUUCCGAAUGGGGAAACCCAGUGUGAUUCGUCACACUAUCAUUAACUGAAUCCAUAGGUUAAUGAGGCGAACCGGGGGAACUGAAACAUCUAAGUACCCCGAGGAAAAGAAAUCAACCGAGAUUCCCCCAGUAGCGGCGAGCGAACGGGGAGCAGCCCAGAGCCUGAAUCAGUGUGUGUGUUAGUGGAAGCGUCUGGAAAGGCGCGCGAUACAGGGUGACAGUCCCGUACACAAAAAUGCACAUGCUGUGAGCUCGAUGAGUAGGGCGGGACACGUGGUAUCCUGUCUGAAUAUGGGGGGACCAUCCUCCAAGGCUAAAUACUCCUGACUGACCGAUAGUGAACCAGUACCGUGAGGGAAAGGCGAAAAGAACCCCGGCGAGGGGAGUGAAAAAGAACCUGAAACCGUGUACGUACAAGCAGUGGGAGCACGCUUAGGCGUGUGACUGCGUACCUUUUGUAUAAUGGGUCAGCGACUUAUAUUCUGUAGCAAGGUUAACCGAAUAGGGGAGCCGAAGGGAAACCGAGUCUUAACUGGGCGUUAAGUUGCAGGGUAUAGACCCGAAACCCGGUGAUCUAGCCAUGGGCAGGUUGAAGGUUGGGUAACACUAACUGGAGGACCGAACCGACUAAUGUUGAAAAAUUAGCGGAUGACUUGUGGCUGGGGGUGAAAGGCCAAUCAAACCGGGAGAUAGCUGGUUCUCCCCGAAAGCUAUUUAGGUAGCGCCUCGUGAAUUCAUCUCCGGGGGUAGAGCACUGUUUCGGCAAGGGGGUCAUCCCGACUUACCAACCCGAUGCAAACUGCGAAUACCGGAGAAUGUUAUCACGGGAGACACACGGCGGGUGCUAACGUCCGUCGUGAAGAGGGAAACAACCCAGACCGCCAGCUAAGGUCCCAAAGUCAUGGUUAAGUGGGAAACGAUGUGGGAAGGCCCAGACAGCCAGGAUGUUGGCUUAGAAGCAGCCAUCAUUUAAAGAAAGCGUAAUAGCUCACUGGUCGAGUCGGCCUGCGCGGAAGAUGUAACGGGGCUAAACCAUGCACCGAAGCUGCGGCAGCGACGCUGAUGCGUUGUUGGGUAGGGGAGCGUUCUGUAAGCCUGCGAAGGUGUGCUGUGAGGCAUGCUGGAGGUAUCAGAAGUGCGAAUGCUGACAUAAGUAACGAUAAAGCGGGUGAAAAGCCCGCUCGCCGGAAGACCAAGGGUUCCUGUCCAACGUUAAUCGGGGCAGGGUGAGUCGACCCCUAAGGCGAGGCCGAAAGGCGUAGUCGAUGGGAAACAGGUUAAUAUUCCUGUACUUGGUGUUACUGCGAAGGGGGGACGGAGAAGGCUAUGUUGGCCGGGCGACGGUUGUCCCGGUUUAAGCGUGUAGGCUGGUUUUCCAGGCAAAUCCGGAAAAUCAAGGCUGAGGCGUGAUGACGAGGCACUACGGUGCUGAAGCAACAAAUGCCCUGCUUCCAGGAAAAGCCUCUAAGCAUCAGGUAACAUCAAAUCGUACCCCAAACCGACACAGGUGGUCAGGUAGAGAAUACCAAGGCGCUUGAGAGAACUCGGGUGAAGGAACUAGGCAAAAUGGUGCCGUAACUUCGGGAGAAGGCACGCUGAUAUGUAGGUGAAGUCCCUCGCGGAUGGAGCUGAAAUCAGUCGAAGAUACCAGCUGGCUGCAACUGUUUAUUAAAAACACAGCACUGUGCAAACACGAAAGUGGACGUAUACGGUGUGACGCCUGCCCGGUGCCGGAAGGUUAAUUGAUGGGGUUAGCGCAAGCGAAGCUCUUGAUCGAAGCCCCGGUAAACGGCGGCCGUAACUAUAACGGUCCUAAGGUAGCGAAAUUCCUUGUCGGGUAAGUUCCGACCUGCACGAAUGGCGUAAUGAUGGCCAGGCUGUCUCCACCCGAGACUCAGUGAAAUUGAACUCGCUGUGAAGAUGCAGUGUACCCGCGGCAAGACGGAAAGACCCCGUGAACCUUUACUAUAGCUUGACACUGAACAUUGAGCCUUGAUGUGUAGGAUAGGUGGGAGGCUUUGAAGUGUGGACGCCAGUCUGCAUGGAGCCGACCUUGAAAUACCACCCUUUAAUGUUUGAUGUUCUAACGUUGACCCGUAAUCCGGGUUGCGGACAGUGUCUGGUGGGUAGUUUGACUGGGGCGGUCUCCUCCUAAAGAGUAACGGAGGAGCACGAAGGUUGGCUAAUCCUGGUCGGACAUCAGGAGGUUAGUGCAAUGGCAUAAGCCAGCUUGACUGCGAGCGUGACGGCGCGAGCAGGUGCGAAAGCAGGUCAUAGUGAUCCGGUGGUUCUGAAUGGAAGGGCCAUCGCUCAACGGAUAAAAGGUACUCCGGGGAUAACAGGCUGAUACCGCCCAAGAGUUCAUAUCGACGGCGGUGUUUGGCACCUCGAUGUCGGCUCAUCACAUCCUGGGGCUGAAGUAGGUCCCAAGGGUAUGGCUGUUCGCCAUUUAAAGUGGUACGCGAGCUGGGUUUAGAACGUCGUGAGACAGUUCGGUCCCUAUCUGCCGUGGGCGCUGGAGAACUGAGGGGGGCUGCUCCUAGUACGAGAGGACCGGAGUGGACGCAUCACUGGUGUUCGGGUUGUCAUGCCAAUGGCACUGCCCGGUAGCUAAAUGCGGAAGAGAUAAGUGCUGAAAGCAUCUAAGCACGAAACUUGCCCCGAGAUGAGUUCUCCUGACUCCUUGAGAGUCCUGAAGGAACGUUGAAGACGACGACGUUGAUAGGCCGGGUGUGUAAGCGCAGCGAUGCGUUGAGCUAACCGGUACUAAUGAACCGUGAGGCUUAACCU
rnacentral:rRNA from 1 species